rnacentral:rRNA from 1 species
UACGGGGGGAGCAAGCGUUGUUCGGAUUUACUGGGCGUAAAGGGCGCGUAGGCGGUCGUGACAAGUCACUUGUGAAAUCUCCGGGCUUAACUCGGAACGGUCAAGUGAUACUGUCGGACUAGAGUACAGAAGGGGCAACUGGAAUUCUUGGUGUAGCGGUGAAAUGCGUAGAUAUCAAGAGGAACACCUGAGGUGAAGACGGGUUGCUGGGCUGACACUGACGCUGAGGCGCGAAAGCUAGGGGAGCAAACGGG